rnacentral:rRNA from 2 species
UUGGAGGGCAAGUCUGGUGCCAGCAGCCGCGGUAAUUCCAGCUCCAAUAGCGUAUAUUAAAGUUGUUGCAGUUAAAAAGCUCGUAGUUGAAUUUCGGGAUCAAAUUGUUGGUCGUGCUUCGGUACGCACUGGCAUUAUUGGUUCCUACCUUCUGAAGAACCGCGAUGUCAUUAAUUUGGUGUCGUGGGGAAUCAGGACUGUUACUUUGAAAAAAUUAGAGUGUUUAAAGCAGGCUUACGCUUGAAUACAUUAGCAUGGAAUAAUGAAAUAGGACGUUUGAUUCUAUUUUGUUGGUUUCUAGGAUCGACGUAAUGAUUAAUAGGGAUAGUUGGGGGCAUUAGUAUUCAAUUGUCAGAGGUGAAAUUCUUGGAUUUAUUGAAGACUAACUACUGCGAAAGCAUUUGCCAAGGAUGUUUUCAUUAAUCAAGAACGAAAGUUAGGGGAUCGAAGACGAUCAGAUACCGUCGUAGUCUUAACCAUAAACUAUGCCGACUAGGGAUCGGAUGAUGUUAAUUUUUUAAUGACUCAUUCGGCGCCUUACGGGAAAC